CUAAAAGCUCCGGGGGCCGACGGAUUUCAUGCUAGGUUUUUUCAGAGGAACUGGGAGUUAGUGCAAGAAGAUGUUAUACAAGCUGUGAAAGAAUUCUUUAAGUCAGGGAUUAUGCCACCAGGUACAAAUGAUACGGUUAUCUGUCUCAUCCCCAAGGGGAGUGACCCACAAGAUCUGAAGGAUUAUAGACCGAUCAGCCUAUGCAAUGUACUUUACAAGGUGGUGUCAAAAUGUCUGGUAAACAGACUAAGGCCUCUUUUGGAUGAGAUCAUCUCAGAGACGCAGAGCGCCUUCAUUCCCGGCAGGAUGAUUACUGAUAAUGCAACCAUUGCCUUCGAGUGCUUCCAUAAGAUUCAACAUAGCAAGAAUGGAUCGAAUACUCACUGUGCGUACAAACUGGAUCUUGCCAAAGCUUACGACAAAGUUGACUGGAGGUUUCUUGAGGGAGCAAUGCACAAACUGGGCUUCUGCCAAACAUGGAUUGGGUGGAUAAUGAGCUGUGUCAAAUCGGUGUCAUAUGCUGUCAAGUGGAAUGGCCAACUCCUUGAAUCCUUUAUUCCUACAAGAGGGCUUCGGCAGGGUGAUCCCCUAAGUCCAUAUUUGUUUCUGCUAGUAGCAGAUGGACUAGUUAGUGCCCUCCGUAAGGAGAUUGCAGCUAAAAGAAUAACCCCCAUAAAGGUGGCUAGGGGAAGCCCGGGGAUUUCCAACUUGUUGUUUGCUGAUGACAGUUUGCUAUUUUUUAAAGCUUCACAUGAGGAGGCUUUAGUGAUAAAGGAGGUCCUUGAAAAGUUCCAACGAGGCACGGGGCAGCUACUGAGUCAAGCGAAGUGUUCCUUACUGUUUAGUGAACACUGCCCAGUGCAUGUCCAGGAAAGUAUUAAGGAUACACUAGGGGUAGUGGCAUCAUCCUUUGAGAGCAAGUACCUGGGCCUCCCAACUCCGGAGGGUAGGAUGAAGGGUGAAAAGUUUCAACAUAUUAUGGAGAGGUUUGUGAAG
rnacentral:rRNA from 1 species